GAUGAAGAACGUAUCGAAAUGCGAUAAGUAAUGUGAAUUGCAGAAUUCCGUGAAUCAUCGAAUCUUUGAACGCACAUUGCGCCCCCUGGUAUUCCGGGGGGCAUGCCUGUCCGAGCGUCAUUGCAACCCUCAAGCGCGGCUUGUGUGUUGGGCUUCGUCCCCCCGUGGACGUGCCCGAAAGGCAGUGGCGGCGUCCCGAAUGGUGCCCGAGCGUAUGGGAACUCUCUUCCGCUCGAACCGGCCCAUUCGGCGCUGGUCGAACCCCAAUUUUUUUUUACCGGUUGACCUAGGAUCAGGUAGGGAUACCCGCUGAACUUAAGCAUAUCAAUAAGCGGAGGA
rnacentral:misc_RNA from 1 species